ensembl:lncRNA
GCAGGCACCAAAAUUCAGAAAAUGUUUAUUUCACACAAGUGCAUUAAGUGUGUCUGUUAUAAUACACAGUGUAUUGAAUUAUUAAGAUUCAUGUCAAACAAUCUCAUCUAUUUAUCAAGUGUGCAUGUUAUUCACAUGUUGUGUCUGUACUCUGGUCAUGCAGCAAUAAUUCUUGAGUUUACCUCUUGUGCCUGCUUGGCUAUUUACAAAUACUUAAUUAUAGUUUUAUUAUUAUUUAUUUAAGUGUUAAUGAUUAUCAUUUAAGUAUCAAGGUGUUUGCUUUGGUUUGUUUGGGUUUUUUUGAGACAGAGUCUCACUAUGUAGCCCUGCCUGGCCUCGAACUCGCUGUGAUCCUCCUGCGUCAGCCUCUCCAGUGCCAGGAUCACAGGUGUGCGCCACCACACCUGGUGGUUCAAGUAUUUUAAGUAUUAUUUAUAUUUAAUUACUAAUGUGCCCAUCUGGCUGCUGAUCUCAGCUGGGACUUAUUUUGGGGGUAGGGCUGCUAUGAUGAACAUCCUGAAAAUCACACCAAGGCCUGUUUUCUGGUUAGGUCUUGUUUUCGAGGAGUUACAGCCGCUGUGACCUUCUGGGAAGCAUUAGCCUCUGCAUUCCUUACCUGAAGCUGACAGGAAGUCACCUUCAAGUGGGCUUUGGUGCCCUGGUCCUUUGGGUCUGUCAAUUGCCUCAUGAACAUUUCUUUACUUAGUCCAAAGCUCCGGAGCACUUGCCCUGUUUUAUAAGCAGCACACACGUUCAAGCACACACUGGCCCUCCAAAGGUGGCAGGGUAGACAGGACUGCCCACCCGUUUCCCUCUACAGUGCCCCUGCAUUUGAAUCUUUACUCUUUUCCGUUGUUUGCUUACUUUCUUUUCCCUCCUUGUUUCCCUCCUCCCGCUCCUCCAACGUGAAGAAUCUUUUCCCCCUGCUCCUGUUUCCUCUUCCUGCCCGGCAGAGCUCGCGUCCACGCAGCCUCCCUGGCUCUCUGCCGCGAAGCUGCCCAGCCCCUCAGUCUCGGCAGGGAGACUGGGAGGAGCUGCUGCCCACCUGGUUAGAAACCUGGGGGGCCCUCCUGCCCUUUCCCUCCCUCCCUGCAGAUCAGCCGCGGGGCGAUGCUCAGCAAGGCAUUUGGUAUAAGCCUAACACUUUCAAAGACUGAGUAGAGUGGGCUAGGAGGAGUUGGGGGCCACCCUCUCCUCCCUGUGUCCCUUUCCCUUGUCCCUAGACCUGAGUGGCGGUUGAGAGGCUCAGGAUCCCCGUGGAAUUUGAUCCCCUGUGGCAGGUUUGGAGGAGGAGAGCAUGUCCUGCUGUUGCGGCUCCGCUGGCCGGAUGCGAAUGUGCAGCGCGGGACGCGCUGCAUCUGCGCGCUGAGCUGCAGCCGGACUCUCUCAAGACGCUCAGGGGCUCCCUCAGGUCCCGGCAGCGGACGCCGCCCAGACGGCUGCCCGGCGAGGGCCCCUUGACGGCGGAGUUGCAGCCGGCUGGCAGCCUCCUAUCGUCGCUGGUUAGGGCCCCAAGAACCUGGUGGGAAGACCGUCUCAGUCGUCUCCCUCAGCCCAGCGCCGUCCAGCACAAACACAUCGGCCUCACUCGUGUGUAACUCAGCAAUAGGAAGUGAGGGCCAGGGAUGUAGCUCAGCGGCACUACGUCGUCGGGCCGGCAAGCGCAAGGUCCUGAGUUAGAGUCCCUGUACCAAAACCCAAACCAAAACAGAAACAGAAAUAAGAAGUGGGCUGCCGGUGUAAAUCCUAAAUAUGAAGUACAGGGCCGGGGAUGUAGCUCAGUGGUUCUGCCGCCUGCCUCGAAAGUGCAAGGUUCCUAGUUUGAUCCCCGGUACCAAAAAAAAAAAAAAAAGAAAAGAAAAAAAGAAAGAAAUACAAAGUAGACCACAUGUAUAAAUCAGAAAUAUGAAAUGGGUCAUGUGUUUAAUUUAAAAUAUAAUGUGAGCCACAAUAAUGUGAUUCAGAAAUACACUGCAAGCCACAUACGUAAUUUAAAUUUUUUUCUGGUAGCCACAAUAAAAAGAUAGAAAGGAAGUGGUGAAAUAAUUUUAGUAAACUAUUUUAUGUAACUCAAUAUAUCCAAAGGUCAUCAAUUUCACCCUGUACCCACUAUUUUUAAAAUAUUGCUGGGAGUAGUGGCACACGCUUGCAAUCCCAGCACUCAGGAGACUGAACUACGGGCUAUCUCAGUAAGUGUUUUUAAAUAUUAGUGAUAUAUUCUGUUAUGAGUUUGUUUGUUUUUUGUUUUUGAGACAGGGUCUCACUACGUAUCCCAGGCUGGCCCCAAACUUUCAAUGAUCUUCCUGCCUCAGCCUCCCGAGUGCUGGGAUUACAGGCAUGCACCACCAUGACCUGCUAGUUCUUAAUUUAUGAGUUAGAGAAAACUCACUUUAAGACGUGGUUCCUCGUUGCUCCAGCCAUGUUUGAGGUGUCGGUACCAUGUUUGGUGCCACCACAUUGGACAGUACAGGUGUGGUGGUGCACAAAGCAAGCUGAGCUGGUCUCCCCUGCACGCAUCCCAGCCCCACCAGGUCAAGAGUCUUUCUUUUAAGAAACACCCUGUAAAGCCUCUCCAGCCUUCCAUACAUUCUGCUUGCAAGGCUCCCCAGGUUCAGUGAAAUGAAUGUCAUCUUCCGAAUCUUAUUUUCCUCUCCUCCUCUUUGCUUGGAUUCUCUGCCGGUCUAAUCCAUUCACUGUCCACCUGGUGUCGGGCGCUUCUGGAGCUCCCCUCCAGGGUGGGUGGGAGGCGAGGUGGGGAAGUGGAGACCCCCAGCCAGGGGUCUGUGAUGCAGCCAAGCCCUGAGGCUGUGCCAUCUCUUUCUCUUCUAGGACAUUAGGUUAUACUGUGCAGUUAUGACAGGCUGUCCCACACUAUGCCUACCUAUUCGUUUGUGGCUGCAGCACACUUCGCAUUCCCCCAAAUGCUCUGCACAUUCUGACUCCGCAAUCCACUAACCAGGCUGUGGGUGCAGAAGGCCUGAGCCAAAAACCUUAGCAUGUGGGCCACUUGGUGAAGAAAACAGCUGUUUCUCUAGCUUCCUGGUUCUUCAGCAGUCUUCAAUUUCCUGGCGCCUCCUGUGUGUCCCCUUGCUUCACUGGGUGGUUCCAAGUUCCCUACUCCAUCUCCCUUCUCCCCUGCUGUUAGGGUAAACUGAGGCAUGCCCGAGACCACCAGAGCAGGCAAAAAUGAAGCAACAAGCUAGGUUUUAUUUCCAGCUUGGGUGCAGGCUAGUCAAGGGUGACAAAGCCAUUGACCCUGGGGGCUUGGGUGAGGGGAAACUUUUUUAUAGGGGACUUUGGGUAGGGGAGGGGUGCUGCCAGGAGGAGUGGAAAUUUUUGUCCUGGAGUGGAGGAAGUCUUUUGAUCUAGGGUGGAGGGCGUCUGGUGGUCUCCAGGGGUAUCUAGGCCCGCAGAUGUUGCUGCAUGGGUCAAGCUGCUUUUCUCGAACCCAACUUAGCUUCCUGUUAUCCUUUGCAUCUUGCAGGAUGUGUAACUGCAUUGUCUGGCAAGUUUUCUCUUCCACCUGGGGGGGGGGUCUGACACCUGCUCUCUCUUUCCUCCAUCUCUCCAGCUGUUCUAACUUUCACUUCCAUGUCUCCUCUUCCCUGGCCCCAUUUCCCUAGCUCUGGCCUCUCAUUCCCAGUUCACCCACACACGCGCCCCCCUUUCCAUGUCACUGUCCACAUCCAUGUCCUCCCUUCCCCUCAGCCCCAGCUCAGCUGUGUCUUUGUAAGAGUCAAGGGUUUCAAUUCCUUGACUCAGAGUUGAUUCCUCCAGAUCUGGAGAAGAAACUCAAGGAAAGGAAAUCAAGGCAUGAUGCCAUCACAGAGAGCCUGAAGAAAUGCAGAGACAACCUCCAGGCUGACAGGAAGAAAGACUGAAUCAGGCUCCUCAAUGGCAUGGAUGGAAAUGCUGCGAAGAGCUCUAAGUGGGGACUGAUGGCUGCUUGCUGCCAUUAGGGGAAAGUAAGAAACACAAAGCUGGAGAAUCCUCUCUUUACAGGAACGCAGACCCUAUGUGGGUAAAUGGCCACUGAGCCAACUGAGGAUGGGCUCAUGUGGAUUUAUUUUAUUAUUUGAAACUCAGGUAAUUCCUGAAAUUUAAAAGUAUUCUAAAGUAGUAGAAAUAGAUAAAUUUAUUUUUUCAUUGCUCAGAGAUAGAGGGAAAAUUGAGACAAGGAGAAGGAGCCGGUCAGUCUCUGAGGUUGGUAUAAGCUGACCUACCGGGUACCAGGUGCAGCUAGCUCUCUGGCCAACCCCUCCCUGCGGGGUCAGGACAGCCGAAAGGUGGAGUCCCAGGGUCAUGUGGAAGUCAUCAAAGAUGGCUCUGGCAGCACAGGACUCUGGCUCACUAUGUGGGCAUCUGGUGUGGAUCUGACACAGUAUUUCAAAACAUGAAGGGCAGGGGAUUUAGCUCAGUGGCACCGCACCUACCUUACCUAAGGUUCAAUACCUGGUACCAAAAAAUAAAACAAAACUAAAAACCCCACCAGAACAAGUUCCAAGGUCAACGUUACUAUCAGCAAUUUACCGUGAGGCCCUGGAACCUCAGGAAGGAGAGGUAUGUGUCCCCGGCCACGUGACUUAAGUGAAAGACAGAAUCAGAACUUGUUUCUCCAAAGCCACAGCGCAGGAUUUAGGGCUCCGUUCCAUCCGCGUUUCCCCACAAGGGGCCUACUGCUGCCUGGAGAGGAUGCCUUUGCUGUGCCCUGAGACUCAGUCUGCCCGCUGAGAGUCCUGCAGCAGCACAGUCCCAGCACUCUGGGCCAGGAGGGGCCCCUUCCCCUGGGGGGGGGGGGGCUUCUGUUGCCAAGAGAAACCAAUCCCUUUCUCUUCCCCACGGAUGACCCAGAACCACUGACGGUCGUUAGGGACGAGGACAACGUGUUUGCUUUUAAUGCGCAGCCUGUGGUUAUCAAGGCCAAGACUUGUUUUCUCUGCCAGUUAGAGAAGGCUUAUCCGGAGUCACCCUCCCCAGCAGGGCCCGCGUGGACACUGGCUCCCCUGUCGGGCGGGGAGAGGCGGACCACAUGGAGGACCAGGCGAGAAGGCACCGAACCGGCCCUUGGGGGAAGCCUGGGGAGCGGGCUGCAGAAUGGACUCCCUGACCUGGGGCCCCGCUCCCUGGCCUAAGUUAGGUGGAAUGAACAACUGUUCUCACUUCCCACCUGAGAUGAAGGAGCAUGGAAAGAGCGGGGGGGGGGGGGGGUGGCAUUCGGACACUGGAGCAGGACCGGGGUGGGGUAGGGAGUGGACGCCAGUUCGUGGAGACUUCGCUGCUCGGGCAGAUGUGGGGUGUCAGGCCGUGUCUCACCCGUGUCCUCUGCUCCCCAGCGACCCCCUCGCCAGGAAACCCCGGCCCUCACACGCUUACCACUGCCACAGGUUAGUCUCGGGCGCUGGAGGAGCCCUGGUGCCCGGUGCCCCUCGCCGUCUCCUCUGUGCUGCCCUCUCCCUCAAAGGCUCCGGAACAACCAAGCGAGGGUCACCAAACCGCUAGCCCUCGAUUCCGCUCGCGCCUGUCCCGGCGUCCUUGGCUGAGAAAGCGUCCGGCGCCGCGCUUCCCGCAGGCGGAGCCUGCUCGGACCGGGAGCUGGGGGCCCACCAGGAGCUGCAGGUGGCGCCGAGUGGUGGCUGAGGGCGAGCGGACCGUGCGCCUGGAGACGGGCGUGGGGUGGAGACCACGGGAUGGCGGGCACGUUCCUGGGCCAAACCCGGGGACCGGGCUCCUCCCGCCGCCUUGGCCGAGGCGCCCCUGGUGGACGAAGGCGCUCACCACACCUGUCUCCCCGCGGUUUCCGACUCGGGCCCACCGCACCCCGCUUCUGAACAAGCACUGAGGUGAGUCAGGCCCGCCUGCCACGAUCCUAGGCGCUCCACGAGCCUGACACUCAGCAUCUCACAUCCCCACCUCCUCCAUUUCUCCCAGUCCUCUAUCCACGAAGGGAACAGUAACAUCAAAGCAACGAUGGAAAUCCGAUACAAAUCCGAAGGUGGAAUGCGGUCCCCAUGCCUAAAGCUGCAAGAGAGACCGGAGCCACAGCUGCUCGGCCGAGUGAAAGGGGGACGGCUCGUCCGGCCUUCGUACCCUGACCCUCCGUCGGGAUCCUACGGGCGUGCGGGAGCGGGGCCUGCAGGAGCCGCGCAGCCUUCCCUCCGCACCCCAACUCCCUUCCCCUCUCAAGUUUGAGGCUCACUUUGGAAACUUACCUGAGCUCAGAAAGUCUGAGCCUCGACCGACCUCGCAUUAUCCCGACGCCGGCUUCCGUUAGGUGUGGGGGUCAGGGCCACGGGACACGGGGAAGAAAAGCUGAUCUACCUUUGGGGGCUGCAGCGACCCCACCUCCACCGUGGGGCGGCCCCUCUGCGCCCAAGAACAGCACACAGCGACGCCAGGGCCCUGGUGCAGCGCCUGGACCGCGGGGAGCUGGACCCGCCCGGCCUGGGGCGCGGCAGGGAGCUCAGAAGCAGGCCGCCGACUCAGGCCGUGCCUCACCUUCCUCCCACGGCCCCAGGGACCCUGCACGCGGCCACGGCUCACCCAGACCUCAUCCUUUAGAGGCUGUAAAGACGCUGACGCCGGCCUUCGACCCGCGGGAUACUGGGGAUGCGGACAAGCCCGCCGACGCCGAAAGCUCCCAGCCCUCAGCUGCGCAUCACGCUCGCCGGUGGCUCCUCGGGCCUCAGCCGCGCCUGGGGCGGAACUCGUGGGCCAGGGGCGGGGCUCGCGGGUCC